UACGGAGGGUGCAAGCGUUAUCCGGAUUUACUGGGUUUAAAGGGUGCGCAGGCGGAUAUGUAAGUCAGUGGUGAAAUCUUCCCGCUUAACGGGAAAACUGCCGUUGAUACUAUAUAUCUUGAAUGCUGUGGAGGUAAGCAGAAUAUGUCAUGUAGCGGUGAAAUGCUUAGAUAUGACAUAGAAUACCGAUUGCGAAGGCAGCUAACUACGCGAUAAUUGACGCUGAUGCACGAAAGCGUGGGGAUCAAACAGG
rnacentral:rRNA from 1 species